CUCUAAUAUUAUUCCAGAUUGCAUAUUUCAAGGAAUGUGUACAGCGAAAUAUUAGAUAUUAAAGAGGUUUAUUCCUUCCUAAUGUAGGUAAAAAUGAAUCAUUAGAAUAUGUGUUAGUAAGAAAAUGCUGAAUUCAUGUG
rnacentral:ncRNA from 1 species